rnacentral:tRNA from 1 species
AAGACACUAGUAAAAUAAUCAUUAUACUGCCUUGUCGAGGCAGAGUUGUGGGUUUAACUCCCGCGUGCCUUG